rnacentral:rRNA from 1 species
GACGAACGCUGGCGGCGUGCCUAAUACAUGCCAGUAGAACGCUGAAGGAGGAGCUUGCUUCUCUGGAUGAGUUGCGAACGGGUGAGUAACGCGUAGGUAACCUGCCUGGUAGCGGGGGAUAACUAUUGGAAACGAUAGCUAAUACCGCAUAAGAGUAGAUGUUGCAUGACAUUUGCUUAAAAGGUGCAAUUGCAUCACUACCAGAUGGACCUGCGUUGUAUUAGCUAGUUGGUGGGGUAACGGCUCACCAAGGCGACGAUACAUAGCCGACCUGAGAGGGUGAUCGGCCACACUGGGACUGAGACACGGCCCAGACUCCUACGGGAGGCAGCAGGAGGGAAUCUUCGGCAAUGGACGGAAGUCUGACCGAGCAACGCCGCGUGAGUGAAGAAGGGUUUCGGAUCGUAAAGCUCUGUUGUAAGAGAAGAACGAGUGUGAGAGUGGAAAGUUCACACUGUGACGGUAUCUUACCAGAAAGGGACGGCUAACUACGUG